rnacentral:rRNA from 1 species
GACGAAGGCGGCGAGCGUUGUUCGGAAUCACUGGGCAUAAAGCGCACGUAGGCGGCGGCGUAAGUUGGAUGUGAAAUCCCCCGGCCCAACCGGGGAACUGCGUCCAGUACUGCGUUGCUUGAGGAUCCAAGGGGUGCAUGGAAUUCCCGGUGGAGCGGUGAAAUGCGUUGAUAUCGGGAGGAACUCCGGCGGCGAAAGCGGUGCACUGGUGGAUUACUGACGCUGAGGUGCGAAAGCCAGGGGAGCAAACGGG